ACUGAGGUGGUAUACGAUGGUUCCGCGUCUGAUUAGCUAGUUGGUGGGGUAAAAGCCUACCAAGGCAACGAUCAGUAGCCGGCCUGAGAGGGUGAACGGCCACAUUGGGACUGAGACACGGCCCAAACUCCUACGGGAGGCAGCAGUGGGGAAUAUUGCACAAUGGGGGAAACCCUGAUGCAGCGACGCCGCGUGAGUGAAGAAGUAUUUCGGUAUGUAAAGCUCUAUCAGCAGGGAAGAAAUACUGACCAUAGGGUCAGCAGACGGUACUUGACUAAGAAGCCCCGGCUAACUACGUGCCAGCAGCCGCGGUAAUACGUAGGGGGCAAGCGUUAUCCGGAUUUACUGGGUGUAAAGGAAGCGUAGACGGCAGCGCAAGUCUGAAGUGAAAUGCCAGGGCUUAACCCUGGAACUGCUUUGGAAACUGUGCAGCUAGAGUGCAGGAGAGGUAAGUGGAAUUUCUAGUGUAGCGGUGAAAUGCGUAGAUAUUAGGAGGAACACCAGUGGCGAAGGCGGCUUACUGGACUGUAACUGACGUUGAGGCUCGAAAGCGUGGGGAGCAAACAGGAUUAGAUACCCUGGUAGUCCACGCUGUAAACGAUGAUUACUAGGUGUUGGGGGACCGAGGUUCUUCG
rnacentral:rRNA from 1 species